rnacentral:rRNA from 1 species
GCAUGCCUNACACNUNCAAGUCGAACGAGACCNUNNGGUUUAGUGGCNNNNNNGGUGCGUAAAGCGUGGGAAUNUGCCCNUGGGUGCGGAAUAACUUUCCGAAAGGAAUGCUAAUACCGCAUAAUGUNGUAAGACCAAAGAUUUAUNGCCCAAGGAUGAGCCCGCGUAAGAUUAGCUAGUUGGUGGGGUAAAAGCCUACCAAGGCGACGAUCUUUAGCUGGUCUGAGAGGAUGAUCAGCCACACUGGGACUGAGACACGGCCCAGACUCCUACGGGAGGCAGCAGUGGGGAAUAUUGGACAAUGGGCGAAAGCCUGAUCCAGCAAUGCCGCGUGAGUGAUGAAGGCCCUAGGGUUGUAAAGCUCUUUUACCCGGGAUGAUAAUGACAGUACCGGGAGAAUAAGCUCCGGCUAACUUCGUGCCAGCAGCCGCGGUAAUACGAGGGGAGCUAGCGUUGUUCGGAAUUACUGGGCGUAAAGCGCGCGUAGGCGGCUUUUUAAGUCAGAGGUGAAAGCCCGGGGCUCAACCCCGGAAUAGCCUUUGAAACUGGAAAGCUAGAAUCUUGGAGAGGUCAGUGGAAUUCCGAGUGUAGAGGUGAAAUUCGUANAUAUUCGGAAGAACACCAGUGGCGAAGGCGA